GACGAAGGGGGCUAGCGUUGUUCGGAAUUACUGGGCGUAAAGCGCGUGUAGGCGGUUGUUCAAGUCAGGGGUGAAAGCCUUGAGCUCAACUCAAGAAAUGCACUUGAUACUGGAUGACUAGAGGACCGGAGAGGAUAGUGGAAUUCCCAGUGUAGUGGUGAAAUACGUAGAGAUCCGGAAGAACACCGGUGGCGAAGGCGGCCUGCUGGGCUAUGGCUGACACUGAGGCGCGACAGCGUGGGGAGCAAACAGG
rnacentral:rRNA from 1 species